rnacentral:rRNA from 1 species
CGCGUAAUAGAAGUGCAAGUUGCAUGGCUAGCUCUUCUUAUAGGGACAGACUACGUUUAGUGGUCGGAAGUUUGAGGCAAUAACAGGUCUGUGAUGCCCUUAGAUGUUCUGGGCUGCACGCGCGCUACACUGACAGAGGCAGCGAGUAUACAACCUUGACCGGAAGGUCUGGGCAAUCUUUUGAAACUCUGUCGUGCUGGGGAUAGAGCAUUGCAAUUAUUGCUCUUCAACGAGGAAUUCCUAGUAAGCGCAUGUCAUCAGCAUGCGUUGAUUACGUCCCUGCCCUUUGUACACACCGCCCGUCGCUACUACCGAUUGAAUGGAUAAAAAA